rnacentral:misc_RNA from 1 species
AAGUCGUAACAAGGUUUCCGUAGGUGAACCUACGGAAGGAUCAUUAUCAAAAGUCAGUCGGGAGCCCUAGUGGCUGCCGUCUACACCCAAGUCUUUUGUAUACUCAUUAUUUCCUCGGCGACGUAAGUCGCCGAAUAGACAAACUAAAACCUUUUUAUAAUUACAAUCAGCGUCAUUAAAUAUAAUAAUAUUUACAACUUUCAACAACGGAUCUCUUAGUUCUGGUAUC